GGCUCAGGACGAACGCUGGCGGCGUGCUUAACACAUGCAAGUCGAACGGGAUCCAUCAAGCUUGCUUGGUGGUGAGAGUGGCGAACGGGUGAGUAAUGCGUGACCGACCUGCCCCAUACACCGGAAUAGCUCCUGGAAACGGGUGGUAAUGCCGGAUGCUCCAGUUGAUCGCAUGGUCUUCUGGGAAAGCUUUCGCGGUAUGGGAUGGGGUCGCGUCCUAUCAGCUUGACGGCGGGGUAACGGCCCACCGUGGCUUCGACGGGUAGCCGGCCUGAGAGGGCGACCGGCCACAUUGGGACUGAGAUACGGCCCAGACUCCUACGGGAGGCAGCAGUA
rnacentral:rRNA from 1 species